AUCACGUACAAGCAUUUUUCGUCUUAAGAUUUGUUUUCGUUUUGUUUUGUUUCAGUGGAUUUAUGUUGUAUUCGUUUCAAUGCGUUCAUAAAGGUAGCGCACUCUGUACUAUAAUGCAGUAGAAGCCAAAUGCACCCUUGCAAUUCUUUUGGAAUACUAUUCACAGAACAUCAUUAUGAAAUGGUAUUUUAUACAAAUUUUUUAUUAGUAUAAUUACGAUAGAGAUAUUUUUCAUGAUACCUAAGAAUUCAAUAUAUUCGAUACAUCCUUUCUUCUACGGUAAAAUGAUGUGUACUGUAUCAUGAUUUUUUAUAUGUUUCGUAGCCACUUUGACGUGCAUUUUUCUCAAUACGUACAAUCUUUUAUCAGACGCAAUGUUUACCAAAUGCAACUUUGUAGGAAGUAUUUUUCAUUGAUUUACUUGUAAGCUGUUUUAUAUAAUUAAAUUAAUCGCAGAUGUUUGAACAUUUUGUUAUAAUAUAUAAUAUUCAUCAUCUAACCUUUCUUGCUUUUGCAAAUUUAUAAAAAGGAGAAUAUUAUUUAUAUAUACUUAACAGUUUGUAUAUUAUUCAUCAAAUACGAUCAAUAGGUACUGCCAGGAAAGGAAUUGAACACUCAAAGACAACCUACUUAACGCUAUAUGCUCGUAAGAGGUUAAUUAAAAGCGAAGCGUAACAAUCGAUAGGCAAGAAAGGGUAGAACAUCGACAUCACUCCACGCAGCACUCGUAAAAGAGUAGGACCAUUGUGGAUUAAAGUUUUAUUAUAAAAAUCUAUAACGAUGCUCAUAGAAUUGAAUUGAAUCCUAAACUCUGUCAAUUUAGCAUCUCGUAAAGUAGAAAAAUCCUCUAGCCUUUCCUAGAGCAUCGAUCACAGUACAAAACCACGUUCAUGUUUCAGACAAUGGUCGCGUGUCUAGAAAACAUCGUAAUUAUGUCAAAGGAGUAACUGCGGAAGUGUAAAGUACUCCGGGCAUGUUGCAGCGAAAAUUACGCUUGAAACGGAGAUAUAUGUUCUUCACAAAAGUAGCAUCCGUAGUGUAACAGCUCUCCUAGGAAGGAUCGACUUGCGACCGCACAAUAUCCCACGUAUAUACGAUUAUCGAUCAAGGAUACGUAAACAGCCGUGGUAUAGUUGCGCACACGCGGCGACCAGGCCACUUAGCGUAUGUUUGUUUAGUACCUUUUACGACUAUAUUGUCCGGGCAUGUGUUAGAUUACGGAGCAGCCAGUGUCUGGCGCAUAGCUGAGGGUUGGGUGGUACGGCGCCGUGCUUCGAGAGGGUCAUUUAUAACUGUUAUCGCGAGACUUACUAGCCCACUUACUACCUCCACUGUGUCUAUUCUCCACCCACUCUUCUAUUCUACUGGAAGAAACGUAAGCGCGAGAUGCGCCAGUCCACCGAACCUGCUGGUCAUUCUAGCACGGUUUUUUAUUCGGUCAUCUUGCAUUAUGCCAGAGAAUAAAAUCUUUGAGUAACGACAUCAUUUUCAGGAAAUCUUGAUUUUUACCGCCAGUGUUCUAUGAGAAAAAUUGGCAGUUGUUUGUUUUUUCUGUUCCUUUCCAUUAGUUAGUUUAUAUUCUAUAGAUGAUUUGUACAUUAUAAUUAAUUGUAAAAUAGAAUUAUGGUCUCGAGUUAUAUUGCGAUCUUUCCUAAUAAAGCAAGGUAGUAAUGGU